rnacentral:rRNA from 1 species
UACGUAGGGUGCAAGCGUUGUCCGGAAUUAUUGGGCGUAAAGAGCUCGUAGGCGGUCUGUCGCGUCGGAUGUGAAAACUCGGGGCUCAACCCCGAGCCUGCAUUCGAUACGGGCAGACUAGAGUUCGGUAGGGGAGACUGGAAUUCCUGGUGUAGCGGUGAAAUGCGCAGAUAUCAGGAGGAACACCGGUGGCGAAGGCGGGUCUCUGGGCCGAUACUGACGCUGAGGAGCGAAAGCGUGGGGAGCGAACGGG